UCUUUGGGUGAACUAUCCCUUUAAAGUUUGACAUCAAUGAUGGUUGACCACAAACCACAAGUGAAGCAAUGAUGUUUGACGUCAAAUGCAUUUUGAUUUCCCGAUAUGUAUUAUCGUUCAGAAGUUUGAGGUCACUAAGAUUUUCUAAUAUUUUUGAAAGAGUCUUUUUUGCUCACAAAGGCUGCAUUUAUUUGAUCAAAAAAUUUAAAGCAGUAAUAUUGUGAAAUAUUAUUGUAAUUCAUAAUAACUGUUUUCUCUUUGAAUACACUGAAUUUUCAGCAUAUGAUGAUUUGCUGCUCAAGAAACAUUUCUGAUUAUUUUUUAAUGUUGAAAACAGUUGUGCUGCUUCAUAUUUUUAUGGAAAACAUGAUACAUUUUAUUUUUCAGGAUUCUUUGAUGAAUAGAAAUUUCAAAAGAACAGCAUUUAUUUGAAACAUAAAUCUUUUGUGACAUUAUAAAUGUCUUUACUCUGUCCAGUUAAUGCAUCCUUGCUGAAUAAAAGUAUUAAUUUUAUUCCAAAAAUUAUGACUGACUAGUGUACUUAAAAACAAAUAUGUUUUUGAGAUUUUCAUCAAAUAUUGAUUUAAAUUUAGGUCUGUUCGUCAUGCAUAUCUAUCAUAUGUUUUUUAAAGGCUUAGUGCACAAACAUGGACCACUUUUAUGGUGCAUUUUGUCUCUAUUUGAGUUUGACAUUAUCUGUCCACAUUCCCUUUCAGUUGUAUUUACAUGGAAGAAAGACAAAUAACAUGGUUUUGGAAUGACAUACAGGUGAAUUAUUGCUGAAUUUCAAUGAGUGUACUAUUCCUUUAAGAAAAAGACUUUUUGCAGAAGCACAUCACAUUGUAUUUGGAGCAAUAAAUAAAUUUCAAAUUAGAUGUGAAUUAAUAGUUAAAAUGUACAUUGUUUGUGGUCAACCAUCAUUGAUGUAGUUAAAAGAUAUUUAUGUAUUCGUUUGACAAACAGAUCAGACUUCAUUUUGAGACAUUUAUUGAGCACAGCCAUGACUGUUUAUUUCAGUUACACACAAAAGACUGUGAAGAAUCGGGACAACAAAUAACAGCCCAUCUCUCCAAGCCAAAAUGAGUGUUUCACCAUGGGUGGAGGAGAAGGACAAUGGUGUCUCCUAUUCUCCAGAUAACAACACAGUGGAAGCAGAUUACGGGACUGGGUCCAACAUGUAGGACGUGUCCCAGUGGAGGGACGCAGUGACUGUCACAGACACAGAGGGAAAGCGAAAGGAUGGUUAAAAAAUGGUGCAUUGUGACAUUGGCAUCAAUGCCCGACUCCUCAAUGGAAAAAAACAAAAAAAAAAACAGCAUAUGGGUUCAAAACAACAUGAAGGCAAAUAAAUAAUGACUGAAUAUUCA